rnacentral:tRNA from 1 species
GGGGUUGUGGCUCAGUGGUAGAGCGCUUGGCUAGCAUGUGUAAGUCCCUGGGUUCGAUCCCCAGCACCA